rnacentral:sRNA from 1 species
GAAGCUCCUUCUCCGGACGACAUGACAACGAACUA